UGCAAGGGGCGCUGACGCAAGUCGGCUGAGAUGUGCGCGUAUUGCCGCGCAAGUCCCUCGAACCUGAUCCGGAUAAUGCCGGCGUAGGAAUGCGGAAUA
rnacentral:ncRNA from 1 species